GUUUUCCAAUAGGAUGUGUUUGUGCUCCCUCCUACCUGCCUCAUGACACAUUCAUACACAGAGGCAGAAGAGGCAGGCAGAGUUAGAAGCUUUUACUAUGGUGACCAUGUAGGAUAGAGAUUUCUGGGGGCUGUUUCCAGUAAACAGAGUGCCAGCACCCACUAACCUGUAAAUAGCACCUUGUUCAGGGGGAGUGAUAUUCUUUGACUGUAUGAUUUGGGGCCUUGCUGCUCAAAAUGUGGUCAGCAGCAUUGACAUCACCUGGGAUCUCAUUACAAAUGCAGAAUCUCAGACCUCACUCCAGAUGUGCUGGAUGAGAAUGGCCAUUUUCACAAGCUCCCCAGGAUAUGUGUGCCUGUUAAAGUUUGAGAAGCACUGAUCGGAGGACUUCGGUUAUAAUCCCACCUCCUUCUAUAAGUGAUUAAAGAAAAUUCACUUAUACUCUCCUUUGAACAGCUGUAUGCUUCUCAAUUUCUCUCUCUCUCUCUCUCUCUCACACACACACACACACACACACACUUUAUUUUUCAAUCUCUAUAGACUUGCUUCUUUGUAAGGCUCUCAAUUUCUCCUCCCCAGUGACACAAGCUUGCAUGUGGAUAUAGCUCGUCAUGGUGCCUAUUUAUCUUCAACUUUAUGCAACCUUAGCACUCUUUUACUCAGAAACCUUUUGACUGGGAGAGCAGGGCAAACUCAAAUCCCUACAGAGACCAGGAAGGCAGCAUGGAUGAGUGCAGAAAGCUACAUUUGUUUCAGAAAGGAAUCAGUGUAUAUUCUUUCAGCAGACACAUUUAGUUUGUUUCUUAUAAGCCACUAGAAGAGUCAUUACUUUCACAAAGUCAUAUGCUUAUUCCCAUUUUUCAUAAAAUAUGGCCUAUCUUCAGUUUUCCCAGUUUUGAUACAGAAAAAAAUAUAAGAAAGAUUUUCUAUUUCCUAUAACUAUAAAAGCCCACUAAUAGCACCAGCACAGCCACCCCUGGGCUUCACACAGGGAGUGGCAGGAGCUGUGCAGAUGGAGAGUGCAUACUGGUGUGAAGGGGGCAAUGGAUCUCAGCUCCAGCCAUUGUCUUCAUGCAGGAAUUUGGGACCAUUUUACCGGAUCCUCCCAUUUCUUCAAGAGAAGCCGGAAAUCUGGAUUUCUAUGUGAAAUCUCCCACUUUUUUAUGCUGGCAACUAAUUUUCUUUAAACACUGUGCCAAACAAAACAUACCUGCAGGCCAAAAUCUACACCCUCUGGGCUGGAUUUCAAUGUCUCUUAAACUCUCAACAGAGAGCAUCUUACUGUUUCAGUUCAGGGUAGAUGUCUACCCAUGGUCCCAUCGAGUGGGGUCUGGAUAUGGAAUCAGCUAGAAGAAGCAUAGUCUAUGCCCAUUCUUUCAGCAGGGACUGUGGGCAGGAAACCAUUUCCAAAGAAGCAGGCAUGAGUUGGUGGCCAUACAAAUAUAUAUGUUAUAUUGAUAAAUAUAAAAACAGGAGAUUCUGGGGGACCACAAGUUUUUACAAAUUAGGCUUAUUUUAGGAUAAAUUCACCCUUGUUAGUGUGCAGUUCUGUGAGUUUUGAUAUACAUAUGCAGUCAAGUAACCACUCCCACAAUUAAGAUACAGAAUAAUUCCAUCACCCCCCAAAUUUCUUGUAUGCCCCUUUAUAGCUAGCCCCUGACCCUAACCUCUGGCAAUCACUAAUAUAUUCUCUUUUUCUAUAGGCUUGCUUUUUUUCAAAAUGUCAUAUACAUGGAAUCACACAGUUUAUAGCCUUUUGAGUCUGGCUUAUUUUACUCAGCAUAAUGCCUUUGAGCUUUAACCAUGUAAUUUCAUGUAUCAGUAGUUCAUUCCUAUGUAUUGCUAAGUAAUUUUCCACUGUAUAGAUGCACCACAGUUUGUUUAUCCAUUCACCAAUUAAAGCCAUAAUCAACUUCCAUGUAGAAGUUUGUGUGUGAACACAGUUUUAAUUUAUUUGGGGUUACUACCUAGGAGUGAGAUUCUGGGUCUUAUGGUAAGCAUACAUUUUACUAAGAAACUAUAAAACUCUUUUCCAAAGUGGCUGAACCAUUUGACAUUUCUAACAGCAAUAUUUGAAAGUUCCCAUUGCUCUGUAUCCUCUCCAGUACUUACAUGCUCAGCAUUUUGGUUUGGUCUGGUUUCAUUGUUUCUGAGCUCUUCUGAUAGAUGUGGAGUACACCCCCAUUUUGGAUGAAUUGUGCCAAAUGUGUAGACCAUCCUCAAAAUCUAAGGUCUCAGUAAAAACAAUUAAACAUGAUUUCUGAUAUAAUGUCUUAUCCUUGAAAACCCUGACCCAUCCAUCUUCAGCACAUUCACAUGUGUAAUAAGGUAAGUGAUUUUUAAUUCCACCAGGUUUAAAGACCCCUGACGUGACUUAUUGCCAUUCUGCUACUGAGCCUUGAGAGAUUAUGGUAAGUGCCAAGAAAAAAAAAAUGACUUUGAACUGCUCUUUCACCAGUUAAAAAUAACACUGAAACCAAAUGUAAACAUAAAAGAAGUGGUCAGAUUCGGGUUACAUAUUAACGGUGUUUGGUCAGGCUGGAGCUGAGGCACAGCAGCAGAGAAUGCCUUUUACUUAUCACUGUUUCCAAACCUCCCUACCUGGACUAGGCUUGACUGGAUUUACAAGAGACCUUUUGAAAAGAUGCAGAGAAGGCAAGCAGCACACAUUUCCUGGUAAUAAAUUUUAAAGGUUGCUAAAACAUUCCAGAGAUUUUCACUCAACAUUCCUCUGGCCAACACAUCUGCAAUCUGCCAAUCCUUAAAAAUAGGUGUUUUUGCAUUUUAAUCUCACAAACAUCUUUGAAAAUGCAUUUCUUCUCUGCCCCUGUGUUGGACAAAUCCAGCUUUUUCCAUUUUCUAAAAACCACAGAAAUAUAAUGCUGCUUAAUUCAUACAAGACUGAGCUAACUGGAGUUAAAAUAAAAUUUCUGAGAGUUUGUUUGGCUCACUCUUCCCUACCAGAUGAUUCCAUUCUUAAAACGGUCCUGUGAUUAUAUUCUCUCAUUACAGAGGUGUCCAGAAAAAAAAUAAGGAGUGCAGUUCUGAAAUUAUAUAAAAGCAAAAUUAUUACUCUAAACGUAAGAGCUGUGAUAGAUCGUGUCAUUGACCAUGGUUCUUUUCCCCUGACACACACGUCCCCACCACCCACCCACUGUAUCCAUAUGCCUUUUGCCAUAUGACUUUGCAGCUCUCCCCACUAAAGGGGCAGCCAUGCGAUUUGCUUUGGCCAAUGAAAUGAGGCAGUAGUGGUGGUAUCCUAGUUCUGAGCCUAGGUCUCAAGAAGUCUUAUGUGUUUCUGCUUAUCCUCUUAUACCUCUGCCAUCACCAUGAGCCAAACAUCCCCCAAGUAGCCCACUGGUCCCAGGACAAGGAGGGAGACAUGAAGCAGAGCUCAUCCAGCUGCUGCAGCCCCACUUGACCCAGAGACCUACACUGGGAAGCAGAGCUGCCCAGUCAAGUCCAACCUGGAUGUGUGGAACCCCAGCCAACCUGAUGCAUGAGCACUCACGGCAUUGGAAGACAUCAUAAACAUUAAUGGAGAGCGGGAUGCCAGAAUAAGUUGAUCCAAAUGAUGCAGGAAUAUUUAGCAGCAAGGAGAAAGGAAUUCACAUUUCUCAGUACCCACUAUGUGCCAUACUUUGUGAUAAGAUGGUUUCCCUCCAAUAUAUCCUCAUUGUCAGCAAUGUCGGGAAACAGGAAUCAUUUCCCCUUCUACAGGUGAUAAAACUGAAGCAAGAAACAUACAGGCUAACAUCAGCUGAGCUGAGAUUUGAACUCCACUCUUUUUGACCCUGGAGCUGAUGAAUGCUGCUUCUAGAGGUUGAGUAUCCCUUAUCCGAAAUCCUUGGAACCAGGAGAUUUUUGGAUUUGGGAAUAUUUGCAUAUACAUAAUGAGAUAUCUUGGAGAUGGGACCCAAGUCUAAAUACAAAAUUAUUUUGUUGUAUAUACACCUUGUACACAUAGACUGAAGAUAAUUUUAUACAAUAUUUUAAAUAAUUUUGUGCGUGAAACAAAGUUGUGACUAUGUCUUGACUGUAAGACAUCUUGCAUGCAACCCAUCAUAUGAGGUCAGGUGCAGAAUUUUCCAUUUGUGGUGUCAUGUUAGUGCUCAAAAAUUUUCGGAUUUUGGAGCACUUCAGACUUUCGUUUUCCAGACGGGGGAUGCUCAACCUGUCUUAGAACCUGUGGUCUCCCAUCAUGCCUCCCUUCCCCAUUCCCUUGCUCCACUGGGGUCUGAGGUGGGAAAGCAAAAGGAGUUGCAGGUAACCCUCACUUUUCACACCAGGCAAUCUCUCCCCACAAUCUGUCACAUUCCUGAAGAACAAGGAAGCAGAGCACUCCACUGAAGAAAUUCUGUUAAAAUCUAUCCCCAACGUAUAAGCAUCCAUCUUUGUCCCAGUCUGGGUCUAACAUGAACAAAGUGCUUAAACAAUUCAGUAGAGGAGAAAGGGAACUUGGAGCAGCUCUGUCACCCUGAAGUGACACUGCCAUGCUGCAUUUCCUGUCUGUAAUAUCUCUUCAGAGCAAUUGUUUUCUUCUGUGAGGACACUUCAGAGAUUCACAGAGACAGAUGCUCUUGUGACUGACCAUAGCAAGUAUCAAAAGGCCUGGGUGGAAUUACGAAGCAUUUCUCGUGCACUGCGUAUUGGGAAGUGCUUCACAGCUGUGUGGCAGAUGUGAGUGGACAGAGGGGCAAGGGAACUGCCCCAAAGGAGGUGGCAGAGGAAGCAACAAGCCAGGGAUUGGCUGGCCGGUCCCAGCACAGCAACUGCAGCAGCAGCUUGCUAAGUUUCACAGGUGAAGCCAAAGGCUGGGGGGAAUGGAAAACAAAUAUCACUCCAUUAAAUUAAGGUCUGAGGAAAACAUGAUGAGGAAAGUCAAUAGUGAAUCAAAACAUUGAAAAGCCACUAACUUUGACUUUCCAUGUGCGUGUGCAAGUUCACGUGUGCAUGUGUGUCUGCAUGUCCAAGUUCUACACUGAUUCAAGAAAUAAUUAUAGAGGGCCUGCCAUAGGAUGGUGAGCAAAACAGUCUUGGCCUCUGUCCUGAUGGAGCAUGCAGUAUCACAGACUCUAUAUGUUCUAUUUCUAGGCCUUGUAUUUUGAGGAUAUAUGCCAGUGGAAUGAGAAUGGCUCUGUGACCUUGUUUAAGUCCCACCACUGUCUCAGGCAGGGUUUUCCAAAGUGUAGUCCUUAUACUAUUAUGUGGUGAAGAUGCUUAAUUGUUUUGUAAUUAUUUAAUGUGCGUAGGUAUCACAUCAAACCCAGUAUUUUCAAGGAUUUUUAUAGCUUAAGACAAGGCUUGUUAUAGGCAAGGUGGAUCAAUUCAAAAAAUAUAUGCUAACAAAAUAAUAGUGGAGGUGGUACAAAGAAACAGCAAAGGUAGUGAGAUGGCUUCACUGGUGUUUGUGAAUCACCAAGAUAAUGCACGUGGAAAUAAAAAUCAGUGUGGUCCAUAGAAAUACAAGGGGUUCUAAUUACCCCUCAGUGAGCACUUGCUCUCUCACUCACCCCAGCAAUGACAUAUUAAGCAAAGCACUGCCCUGACUGCAUAUGCUCUUGCCGACAACUUGGCCAGCAUUCAGAAGACACUAAGUGUGCUCUGGGAACUUCAGAAGGCACUAACAUUCCAUGGAGAACUUCACAAAGAGUGAGACCUAGUCCCUGGCCUAAAGAGAGUAUAAUUUAGUAGGAAAGAGAAGACAAACACACAAAUAACUGUAAAAUGGGAUAAGCCCCAAAGUGGAGGUACAAAGUCCCAUAGAAGAGGCUCAAUGAUAAGUCACGCCUGCCGGGUAAGGUCAAGAAAGACUUCAUGGAGAUUUGAGAUGGCAUCUGAGAUAAGCCAGGAAAGACGGUAGAAUUUCAACAACCAAAAAAGUGGGGAGAGGGAUGGGAGGCAUUCCAGAGAAGGAGAAAUGCUUGAGCAAUGGUACAGAGACCAGGAAGUUAUAUGAGGGCAGAAAGUCCCUGCUGUCUAUUUAGCUGGGAUAUAGAAUGCAAGUCAGUUAGAUGAUUAGGUGGGGUUAUAACAUAACUAGCCUUAAAUAGUGGACUGAGAAUUUUCCACUUAAUUUAAUGCAAAUGGCAGGGGAGGGGGCAGGCAAUGGAGAGCUGAAAACAGGACUGGAGAUGCGCUGGAGGGAAGUAACCCUGGAAAUGGGUGAAGUACGGGUUACUGUCACCCCAGCUCUGGUUCUUGUUAUUCCCUAGGAGAAGCAUAAUAGAAGUGUGAAUUUAGGGUAGCCAAAUGAUGACUUUGCAGAGGGAAUCUUUAGGACUUGUGACUUGAUUAAAAGCAGGGAGAUGGAUAGGGAACGUCCAAGGAUAACUAGAUAACUAGAGCUCUCCUGUUCCUCUGACUCAUGUGUGCUGAAACUGUAGAGUCAAACAAACACUUGUAAGUGGCGUGAUGUAAAUCCCUUAGGGGCCCAUGCCUGCCUCAAGAGAAGAACGUGUGGUCAGGAAAAACGACCGGGGGAAGUGAAAACGACACAAGACCCAGAGGAUAACCCUUAUUUUAUUCACACAUGCAAAUUUAGGCACAGCAAAAAGCAAAACGAAGUAUACCAAAUGUCAAGGGUUAAUUAUUAAUCAUUUCUAUAUUAAAUUAUGAGUUUUUCAGUAAGACACUUUUUGAUAAGAAACUUGAAUUACGUUCAUAACCAUCAAAAUAAAGAAAAUAAAAGAGACAGAUUUUCUUUGGUGGUGGGAGAACAUUAAGUAUUGUGGAAGCCUGAAAAAUGGUCCCCAAAAGAAUCUGGUCCUAAUCCUUAGAACUUGUGAGUAUUAUCUUACUUGGAAAAAGGGUUGUUUUAAGAUAAGGAUCUUGAGUUGGGAAGAUUGUCCUGAGUUAUUCAGGUAGGCUGUAAAUGCCAUCACAGGCAACCUUUUUACAUGGAUAUUUGACACAGAGUGGAGGAGACACCCAUAGGAGAAGGCUAUGUGAAGACAUAGCAUCGAGACACUUGAAGAUAUUGGCCUUCAAAUGGCACAGCCACAAGCAAAGGAAUGCCAGCAGCCACCAGGAAAAAGCAAAGAAUGGAUUCUCACCUAAAGUCUCCAGAGGGACUGUAGAGUAUCCUGCCAACACCUUGAUUUUGACUCUGUGAAACUGAUGUCAGGCUUCUGGCCUCCAGAACUGUGAGAGAAGAAAUUUCUGUUGUUUUAAACCUUCGAAUUUGUGGUAAUGUGUUAGAGCAGCCACAGGAAACUCAUAUUCUAAACUAGCAACUAUGAAAUGAGAAUUUCUAGUGUUCAGCUAAGAUACCACCGCAGAAGCAGCUGGAUAAUAUCAGAUGAGCCGAAAACUUCUCUUACCCCAUUUCCUUAUCCAUAAAAUUAGCAAAUAAUACCUGUCUUGCAGAGUUAAUUUUAAAGUUAUACAAGUAAAUACACUUUGAAAGUGACAAGUACUAGAAAAAUGUAGGGAAUUAUCCUACAAGUCUGGGUAUCCCCACCACCCAAGGCACAUGAAUGAUGCACAAUAAAAUAUACAAUUGGUUAGAAAUAGAACAAAGUGUUGAAAGUGCUUCAAAGCUCGAAAUGUAGGGCAUGAGGAAUGAAGGAAAUUCAGUUCAGGAAUAAAAUAUUUAUUCAGCAUCACUAAUAAGCCAGGCACUCUGCCAGAACCCAAAGGUAUAAAGAGGAACAAAUGAUAAUUCCUGCCCUGUGGAUGGCUUAUAGUCUAGGGUAGCAUUUUUACAGUGUGUUCACAGACCACUAAGCUCUCAAAUUUCUAUUUAAAGAUGCCAAAGGACCCAAGAUCAAGUGCUAUAUUCUAAUAUCUACCCUCUCCAUUUCCUACCCCCUCCCACAACCACACUUUCUGUAGACUCACAAUGUGUUAGUUAAUUUAAGGCAUUGAGUCCUGUUGUUAAUAAGCUGACUUGCCCUUAAUUAUCACAGGCUUUUCCAAAUUUCCUUGACAUGCACUAACCAUUUAACCUUGGGGAAAAGAAUGGAAUAACAUUCUUGCCUGCCUGUUGUAGCUGUCAUCAUAUUUAAAUGUAAUAAAACAUGGAAAGUGUUUAAUAAUUAUGGUGCUCUAGGCAAAAUAGCAGUCCUUCAAAAAUGCCCAUGCCCUAAUCUCCAGAACCUGUGAAUAUGUUACCUGACAUUGUAAAGCAACCUUGUAGGUGUGAUUAAAGUUACAAGCUCUGAGAAGAGAAAAUUACUCUGGAUUAUCUGGGUGGGCCCAGCUUAAUCAUAUGAACCCUUAAAAGUGGAGAAUGUUUUCCAGCUAAGGUCAGAGAAAGAGACUUGACAAAGGAAGAAGGGUCAUAGGGAUGUGAUACCGCUAGCUUUAGAGAUGAAGGAAGAGGACCACAGCCAAGAAAUGUGGGUAGCCUCUGAACACAAUACAAGGCAAGGACACGGGCUCUCUCCUUGAGCCUCUAGAAGGAGCACAGCCAUAAGGCAUUCUUAAACUAUGUCGCUUACCUUACCUACCUCAUCCACUUACUACUUGUAUGGCUAAUGGCAUGAGGAAGUCACUAAAACUCUCCGAGCCUUCCUGGCCUCCACUUAAAUGGGAGUGGUACCCACAGAGGGUCAGGAGGCUCAAUCAAAUCUCAAAUUCAUUAUCUCUUGCUUCUCAUGCACAAGUCAGUGUCAGCAGGAGGCAUCAGUGCUUCUGCAAAAAUAACUAAUUCAACAUUACUUUGUCAGAUCACAACCCUUCUUUGCUAAAACCUUCCAGAGGCUCCCUGUCUCACUCACAGAACAACCUCAUGGACUUCCUCUGUUCUCAGGAUUCUCAUGACACAAUAUGACCCCAUUUCCUCUGACUAUAGGUCCUUCCUCUCUCCCCCUUCCUGAUGGUGCUCCAGCCAUACUGGCCACCUUGCUGUUCCUGAGGCACACCAGGCAGCUUCCAGCCUCAGGACAUUUGCACUUGCUGUUUUCUCUGCUUAGAGCCCUCUUCCCCCAUAUCCACAUAGCUUGCUCCCUCAACUCCUUUAGAUCUUCAUUCGGCUAUUACCUUCUUCCUGAGGCCUUCCCUAACAACCCUAUGAAAAUUGCAAUACCUGCCAGCCAAACAUUCCCCAUCCUCCCUUCACUUUAAUUUCCGCCAUAGUAAUUUCAUCUUCUCACAUGCUGCAUAUUUAACUGUUUUGUUUACUUUCUUUCCUCCAUUGGAAUAUAAGCUCUAUCAGGGCUUUUCAUGAAGGACAUGCAAGUAGAUGCUUGAUAAAUAUUUGUUGGAUAAAUAAAUCAGUGCAUAUACCAAUCUGAAGUCACAAAAUCAAUAUGAGCAUCACCUUCCACUAAAGACAUAUCCUUUCAGUUAUCGAUGAAAAAUGAAGUUGAAAACACAAUAAUCAGCCUGUCAUUGAACAAUGCAGCUGCAGCUAAGAUCAAGUUCUUGACUGACUUUGCCGAGCCCAACCAAUUCAAAGGAAGAAUAAAAACAUGGUCAAGGGACCCAAGACCCAGCUCUUAUCCCCUACUCAGAGAAAACCCAGAGAGAACCAGCCUUCUGAUGUCUUGUCCUUCCUGGUUUUGACCAACCUCUAAAAACCAUAAGAACAGUUUGUCUCAGUAUUUCAGUACUUCCGCUUCCAGGCCCAGGAAAGAGCAGGAAGUGCAGGGGCGUGUGAAAAUCAAGAAAAAAGAAGAAUUAAACCCGCUACACAUGAAGCGCUCAAAGACUUCCUCUGUAACCUGUUGCAGCACACGAGUUUCAAUGUGCUUUCACUGAGAGCCCAGGGGGACUGUGCUGUCCCCAGAAUUUCGCACCAUGCCCCACACUCUCAAUGAACACUUGUUG
rnacentral:lncRNA from 1 species